GGGGAGGUAGCUCAGUGGUAGAGUGCUUGUCUUGCAUGCAUGAGGCCCUGGGUUCAAUUCCUCAGCACCA
rnacentral:tRNA from 1 species